UACAGAGGUCCCGAGCGUUGUUCGGAUUCACUGGGCGUAAAGGGUGCGUAGGUGGCAUGUUAAGUUUGAUGUGAAAGCUCAGGGCUUAACCCUGAAAUGGCAUUGAAUACUAGCGUGCUGGAGGUUUGGAGGGGGGACUGGAAUUCUCGGUGUAGCAGUGAAAUGCGUAGAUAUCAAGUGGAACACCAGUGGCGAAGGCGAGUCCCUGGACAACUCCUGACACUGAGGCACGAAAGCUAGGGGAGCAAACAGG
rnacentral:rRNA from 1 species